ensembl:lncRNA
CUUGUUUGCUCCCCCUUCCUAGAUAAAGAAGGUCUCUCCAGACUUCAGGCAGUUGUUGGGGAAUGGACACAUUAGGAUGAGAGGUAGGUUCUGUAUUUGCAGGAAUUCCUACAGGCCAUGCUCUUCUACGUCUGGCCCAUGUUUGUGCCACUGACAACUUUUAUUCUGCCUCUUUUGGUUUUGUGUUACCAUGAAAACCAUGGAAUUCCAUUGAUGGGAUCCGUAUGGAUACAAGGAAUAUGAAAAGGAAAACAAACAAUAUAUCAAAGGACUGUCAAGAAUUUCAGUGUCCAAAUUUUCCAUGCUUGCCCCUUACAAGACUGCGUGUUCAUCACCAGACUCAAUUUCUCUUUCACUAAUGAUCCUUUCCUUGAGGGAGUGUCUAAUUAUCUGACCUCCCUGACUUGUCCUCUCUUCUCUUCUUUCCCUUCUGUGGCUAGAGGAUUUGGGGAUGGCCAUAAAUACUACAAAGGUCAAUGGUUCCAGCUUUCCUCAGGAAGCAGAAACAAAAGCAAACCCAUCCAAUCACUCUGAACACUCUUUAAAGUCUUGAAGAAAUAGUGGAAGGUUUGAGGUGAAGUUUUGUAACCUGUCUGGACCAGGAUACUCUUCCUUGACAUAAAUCAGGAGAGGAAACGCAACGUUUGGCUAAUCUGAGUAGGACUUUGAUGAUAAUUUGCCAAGAGAGAGAAGUUAAAGUAAGCGGUACAACAUGAAAUAACAGUAACUAAAAUUAAUGGAGCUGUAAAUGGGAUUGCAUUGUGCAGGGCCCCAACAUAUGGUUCAAAUUCAGCGCUUCCUCUGUAUCUGACAGAAUUCUUACAGCAAGAAUGCUUCUGAAGAACCGCCGCUGCACCCACCAUGAAAACACAGAGAAGAAAACCUCACCCCACGAUGUCUCUUCACCAUUCUUUUUCCUCCCAUGGUGACUGUGGUUUUAUUUAUGCUCUCAAUUAAACAUGGGUCUGAGUUUGCACUUGUAAAUGGAUUUAUCCAUCUUAUUUAUGGUAUAAACCUCAAGGCAUACAGUAGAAGGUCAUUUGGAUAGCAGAGUUGAGAUAUACUCCACAGCAAGAACCAUCUGAAAUGUAGACUGAUAGUAAGCAGAAUGUAGGCAGCUUGACAGAUAUUGGCAUGGAAUCUACAGGACGCACAAAUCUACCUAAAGAGGCAAAUGGAGGCCAACCAUACAAUUGCAAAACAACUCCAUUGGCCAAGUUUAGGAACCUUAGCAUACAGUUGUUGUCAAUAAAAGAGACAGAUGUCUUGGCUCUGAACGUAAUCAACUGAAAUCUAGUCAGUGCGGUCAGCAGUGCCUAGAGAGCUAUUCAUAGGAGUAAAUGUAGAGAUUCAACUCAGUUGCUUCAACAUAGGUAUCAGUGUUCUUUUGCCAUAUCCUCCCGUAUUUAAGGUAUUCACGCAAGACUGACAGAUACAAUUUGAGAGUAAUGAGAAAUGAAUGGUCUCUAGAAGCAGCAGCUAGGUACCAGGCAGGAUGCCAUAGAUACAUCUACGCUUUGGCAACCAAACCUCCAGGUGAUGUGCAAUCACAGGAACACACUCUGUGUGGACUGAACAACAAAUAAAUCAAGGUUAAAAGCAGCCCAUUAGCAAAGAUCUCAACCUCAGCUCCUUCUGCAUUAGCUAUGAAGAGUGUACAGCACACAGCAUGAAUGAAAAGCAUAUGAGUUUCAAAGCUCAUGAGUUAACCUGUUGCCAAGUUCAUUCUUCACCACGUAGACUAGACUGAAGCUACAAUUCUUCAGCCUAUGCCAAACACAGACCAACAUUUUGGCCUCGUUCUAAGUAAGGAGUGUAUAUCACGUUAACAGAAAUCUGGAAGGAACUAGGCCGGAUAGGAACGUCACUAAGAUGAAGAAUUCAUGCCUAUGUAUUAAUUCUACUAUUUCCAUAGCAUAUAAUUAUUACCAUCAGAGCGAAUAGUGAGCUAUCCCUCUUCCUCAAGCCUGCAGUGAGUCUGACUUCUGUAGCUGUGCUUAAUUGUUGCCAGGAAUCCCUGUAGCAGCAUUACCCUGUUUAAUAUUACAUGACAUGAGAAAAUUAAAUGAUCAAUAUCAAGUUAAGAGCACUCAGUUGUUCCUUCUUUACUUUUGUAAUUGCUAGUGUGAUGAGAAAAUAAUUAUGAUGUUGAGUUUAUUGCUAUUCUCAUUGUCCUCUGUUAGUGAUUCUUGUUGUUCAGCUACGGACAUGUCCAAUUUGAAUUGUCUAUAAUAUUGUUGCCCUGGAAGGAAAAAGAAAGGAAAGGGGAAGGGAUAGGAACUAUGAGAAAUUAAAGGCUGAUCUAAGAUUAACAAAGUGUUUACUUUGACUCUUGGCAAGGUCUGUUUGUAAAAGGACACUACAAAAGCAAAAAUCAUCUAGAGAGGAUUUGUUUAAAGUGACACUGUCAGCUUAAAUAUCACACUUCAAGAUCUUUUUUAACUUUAUGUUGUUAUAAGUAACGCCCAAACGAAUUAUAUCCUGUUAAUACCAUUGGAACACCUCAGAUUAUUACAGCUGACAGAGUAUAGAAAAAUAUUUCUCUCUAAGUUUUCAUUUGUUUUCAUUGCACUUGAUAGCUCUCUAUCCACGAGCACCAAGAUAUAUGGAAAGCCUACACACAAAAAGUGCCAUGUAAAAUAUUGCCCAAGUCUUCCAUAGCUUUUUAUUGAUGUGAACUCACCAACAGCUGAAUUUUUUUUUUUAAUUUCAUCACUUCCCUCUCCAUGUGUUAGGGUUCUUUCCCGUUGCUGGUAUGACUUCCUGACAGAGUAACAGAGAGAAAAAAAAAAUACCACCAAUGGAUUUAGAAAUAUAAUUUUUAAAACCAGCAGGGAAAAUAGAAAAACAGAAAUCCCCAUUAGACCUCAGCAGGAGCAGUUCUCCUUAGGGUCUUUGCUUUCGCCCAUGUGAGAACAAGAAUACCUACCUCCUUCAGAAGCCUGUGGGAUUGGGCUGAUAAAGAGAUCCUUUAGUGGUGAUGUUUAGGAGUCACUGGUGACAGCGUUAAGAAAUCUUGGGAGAGAGAAGGAAACAAAACUGGUUAUUCACUUCCUUUGUUCAGCUGCCUUCAGAGGUUUUGAAGGAGCUGAAUACAAAGACAUUAUGGCAUAUGCCAACUGUUGACUCUAUCAAAUAAUAAAGCAAUCCCAGUGGGUAUUAAGAAGCGUGGAAUCACUCUAAUGAGUCUGGCAAAAUCUCAUUAGGAUGAACAGCAGGUGAUGACAAAAUAUUUGCUCUGUAUGCAAAUGACUUGUUUCCUUCUCUGUCUACACGCAGUUACAUGAACGCUCAGAAUGGGAGCUAUUGGAUAAUUACUCACUGGGGUAAAGCCCUGCAUAUGUGGUGGCUGCAUUUCAAACGCAUCAGUGGCAAAAAUGGGAAAAAUGUUUGAAAAAAGAGCUGUGUUUUAGGGCAAGAGCCACACUCAGCCUCCUACCCUGCAUAAAAGGCAGUUUUUCUGGACUUCCAGACAUUCCAUCUGUCUUUUCAGUAAUGCCUUCAAAGUGAGAAGAGAAGGACUGCAGGUUGUCCAAACUUCUCCAAGAGCUAAGUUGGCAUAGGAGACAUGGUGUUUGUGAGGGGAAUGGAAAUGAUGAAAAGAAAAAACGGCCAAGUCAGUUCCAGCUGUCAGAGUUCUGUUCCUACUCCUCAUACGUGUCAUAAGCAAAAUUCUUGCAUGGAUGAGAUGGAAAUCCCCCAAGAGCCCCAUUCUUCUGUGUGUGCCAGAGAAGAGGAGGACAUGAGAAUUGACUCAAAGGACAUUCCAGAUUAAAUAAAUGAAGCCAUGAG